rnacentral:tRNA from 1 species
CGGGGAGUAGCGCAGCUGGCUUAGCGCACCUGCUUUGGGAGCAGGGGGCCGUGAGUUCGAAUCUCACCUCCCCGA